UACGUAGGGGGCUAGCGUUGUCCGGAAUCAUUGGGCGUAAAGCGCGUGUAGGCGGCUCGGUAAGUCCGCUGUGAAAGUCGGGGGCUCAACCCUCGGAUGCCGGUGGAUACUGUCGGGCUAGAGUACGGAAGAGGCGAGUGGAAUUCCUGGUGUAGCGGUGAAAUGCGCAGAUAUCAGGAGGAACACCUAUUGCGAAGGCAGCUCGCUGGGACGUAACUGACGCUGAGACGCGAAAGCGUGGGGAGCAAACAGG
rnacentral:rRNA from 1 species